rnacentral:misc_RNA from 1 species
AGAGAGAGAGAGAGAGGAUUUCAUGAGUUUCCGUGUUCAGUCAUCAGUGAAUAUUAGAAGGGGUGUUUGCUUACUGAAUAUUACCAAAUUAGUGGAGGAUUAGCUUUGCUAAUUUUGAAAAAUGUUGCAAAGCUAAUUUGUGACUGGUACUGAUGAACAGCUAUCAUGCAUGUAAUAGUCAUUGAUUCACUGUUGCAUUCUGUGUUCUGGACAUAACAUCUUUAGCUUUGAUAAUGUGAAAUAAGUUUGCUAAAAUAAUAUGACUGGGGGAUUGAUCUCAUAAAGCAUAUUAAUAUGCAGAUUGUCUCAAGUAUUAUUGGAGUUAUCCAGUAAUUUCUAAUUUGUGGUGUCUGAAUUUGUUGUAUGAGAUUUAUUUUAGUUCAGCAUAUUUACUUCAUUUUCUUGAAAAGUUUUCAUAUACACAAAUUGUUAAUUAUUGGGGAGUUUUAUGAAAUGGAACUUGGAAAUUGUUUUCUGCAGAGUUCACAUCCUGUGACAAAAUU